rnacentral:sRNA from 1 species
CCUGUGCUCUUGUACCCUGGCCUGUAUUGUAGUGGUGGUGCAGACUUUCCGAGACCUGGUUUGGUUGUGUCCUCAGUGUACUGAAGCUGUGUGUCAGGCCCUGCCCGGCUGUGAAGAGAACAUUCAAGAUAGUGAGGGGAAGCAAGCACUUAUUUGGCUACUUGGUGUCCAUGGGGAAAGAAUUCCUAAUGCUCCUUAUGUGUUAGAGGACUUUGUUGAGAAUGUGAAGUCGGAAACAUUUCCAGCUGUUAAGAUGGAGCUGCUCACUGCUUUGCUGCGCCUUUUCCUCUCCCGACCUGCUGAGUGCCAGGACGUGCUAGGACGUUUGUUGUAUUACUGCAUAGGUGGGUUUUUCAGAAGGAAAUAGUAUUUGCCAUGACCCACAGUAAAAAUUCUUAAUAGCUUUCAUUGUUUGGUGAGUCACGUCUGGGACCCGAGAAGAAAAUGUGAAUGCUUCCUAGGUUUUCCUCUCUCCUUCAUUUUUUUCUCCUAUUAUGGUUGGCACAAGAGUAGGAGGAAAGUGGUUUUGUUUUUAAUGAAGUCAAUCUGUUGUCUUA